AACGAACGCUGGCGGCAUGCCUAACACAUGCAAGUCGAACGAGACCUUCGGGUCUAGUGGCGCACGGGUGCGUAACGCGUGGGAACCUGCCCUUAGGUUCGGAAUAACUCCCCGAAAGGGGUGCUAAUACCGGAUCAUGUCUUCCGACCAAAGAUUUAUCGCCUUUGGAUGGGCCCGCGUUGGAUUAGCUAGUUGGUAGGGUAAAAGCCUACCAAGGCGACGAUCCAUAGCUGGUCUGAGAGGAUGAUCAGCCACACUGGGACUGAGACACGGCCCAGACUCCUACGGGAGGCAGCAGUGGGGAAUAUUGGACAAUGGGCGAAGGCCUGAUCCAGCAAUGCCGCGUGAGUGAUGAAGGCCUUAGGGUUGUAAAGCUCUUUUACCCGGGAUGAUAAUGACAGUACCGGGAGAAUAAGCUCCGGCUAACUCCGUG
rnacentral:rRNA from 1 species